GACGAACGCUGGCGGCGCGCCUAACACAUGCAAGUCGAACGAGCGAGAGGAGGUUUCCUUUCUCAAGCGAGUGGCGAACGGGUGAGUAACGCGUGAGGAACCUGCCUCAAAGAGGGGGACAACAGUUGGAAACGACUGCUAAUACCGCAUAAGCCCACGACCCGGCAUCGGGUAGAGGGAAAAGGAGCAAUCCGCUUUGAGAUGGCCUCGCGUCCGAUUAGCUAGUUGGUGAGGUAAUGGCCCACCAAGGCGACGAUCGGUAGCCGGACUGAGAGGUUGAACGGCCACAUUGGGACUGAGACACGGCCCAGACUCCUACGGGAAGCAGCAGUGGGGAAUAUUGCACAAUGGGGGAAACCCUGAUGCAGCGACGCCGCGUGGAGGAAGAAGGUCUUCGGAUUGUAAACUCCUGUUGUUGAGGAAGAUAAUGACGGUACUCAACAAGGAAGUGACGGCUAACUACGUG
rnacentral:rRNA from 1 species